rnacentral:rRNA from 1 species
CAGUAGCCGCGGUAAUACGGAGGGGGCUAGCGUUGUUCGGAAUUACUGGGCGUAAAGCGCACGUAGGCGGCUUGGUAAGUUAGAGGUGAAAGCCCGGAGCUCAACUCCGGAAUUGCCUUUAAGACUGCCGAGCUAGUAGGUGAGAGAGGUAAGUGGAAUUCCGAGUGUAGAGGUGAAAUUCGUAGAUAUUCGGAAGAACACCAGUGGCGAAGGCGGCUUACUGGCUCAUUCUAGGCGCUGAGGUGCGAAAGCGUGGGGAGCAGACAGGAUUAGAUACCCCAGUAGUCCCUGUCUCUUAUAC